rnacentral:rRNA from 1 species
CCUACGGGAGGCAGCAGUGGGGGAUAUUGGACAAUGGGGGAAACCCUGAUCCAGCGAUGCCGCGUGAGGGAAGAAGGUUUUCGGAUUGUAAACCUCUGUGGAGGGGGACGAUAAUGACGGUACCCCUUUAGGAAGCCACGGCUAACUACGUGCCAGCAGCCGCGGUAAUACGUAGGUGGCGAGCGUUGUCCGGAAUUACUGGGUGUAAAGGGAGCGUAGACGGUUAUGUAAGUCUGGAGUGAAAGCCCGGGGCCCAACCCCGGGACUGCUUUGGAAACUGUGUAACUGGAGUACAGGAGGGGCAGGCGGAAUUCCUGGUGUAGCGGUGAAAUGCGUAGAUAUCAGGAGGAACACCGGCGGCGAAGGCGGCCUGCUGGACUGAAACUGACGUUGAGGCUCGAAAGCGUGGGGAGCAAACAGGAUUAGAUACCCGAGUAGUC